CAAGUUUACCUUAUAUCCAAUAAAUGCAUUUUGUAGAAGAAGUUCUCAGCUAUAAUAUAAUAUAAUUUUGUAUUGCCUUCCGUUACCGUUUGCAACGCAAAAAUAUCAUACUAUCAUUAAAUAAAAAUGGUGUAUCACAAGCUAAACAAAACAUGGUGACGUGACUUUCCAAAAUAAAUAAUCAAAUUUGAAGUGUCACUAAUGGGGAGGCUUCUUCCCAUUAACUUCUUUAUCACGCUUAUGAAUGACAUUAUAUCAACUAUUCUUGUUAUGUAUUUUAUAUGUAAAUAGUUUAUCUCAAUAUAAAAAUGUGAAA